rnacentral:rRNA from 1 species
CAUGCAAGUCGAACGGCAGCACGGGAGCAUCCUGGUGGCGAGUGGCGAACGGGUGAGUAAUAUAUCGGAACGUGCCCAGUAGUGGGGGAUAGCCCGGCGAAAGCCGGAUUAAUACCGCAUACGACCUAUGGGUGAAAGCGGGGGAUCGCAAGACCUCGCGCUAUUGGAGCGGCCGAUAUCAGAUUAGGUAGUUGGUGGGGUAAAAGCCUACCAAGCCGACGAUCUGUAGCUGGUCUGAGAGGACGACCAGCCACACUGGGACUGAGACACGGCCCAGACUCCUACGGGAGGCAGCAGUGGGGAAUUUUGGACAAUGGGCGAAAGCCUGAUCCAGCCAUGCCGCGUGCGGGAAGAAGGCCUUCGGGUUGUAAACCGCUUUUGUCAGGGAAGAAAAGUCUCGGGCUAAUACCCUGGGAUGAUGACGGUACCUGGAGAAUAAGCACCGGCUAACUACGUGCCAGCAGCCGAGGUAAUACGUAGGGUGCAAGCGUUAAUCGGAAUUACUGAGCGUAAAGCGUGCGCAGGCGGGUAUGCAAGACAGAUGUGAAAUCCCCGGGCUCAACCUGGGAACUGCAUUUGUGACUGCAUAGCUAGAGUACGGUAGAGGGGGAUG